rnacentral:rRNA from 1 species
UACGUAGGUGGCAAGCGUUGUCCGGAUUUACUGGGCGUAAAGGGAGCGUAGGCGGACUUUUAAGUGGGAUGUGAAAUACCCGGGCUUAACCUGGGUGCUGCAUUCCAAACUGGGAGUCUAGAGUGCAGGAGGGGAAAGUGGAAUUCCUAGUGUAGCGGUGAAAUGCGUAGAGAUUAGGAAGAACACCAGUGGCGAAGGCGACUUUCUGGACUGUAACUGACGCUGAGGCUCGAAAGCGUGGGGAGCGAACAGGAUUAGAAACCCCCGUAGUCC